UUGAAGAGUUUGAUCAUGGCUCAGAUUGAACGCUGGCGGCAGGCCUAACACAUGCAAGUCGAACGGUAGCACAGAGAGCUUGCUCUCGGGUGACGAGUGGCGGACGGGUGAGUAAUGUCUGGGAAACUGCCCGAUGGAGGGGGAUAACUACUGGAAACGGUAGCUAAUACCGCAUAACGUCGCAAGACCAAAGUGGGGGACCUUCGGGCCUCACACCAUCGGAUGUGCCCAGAUGGGAUUAGCUAGUAGGUGGGGUAACGGCUCACCUAGGCGACGAUCCCUAGCUGGUCUGAGAGGAUGACCAGCCACACUGGAACUGAGACACGGUCCAGACUCCUACGGGAGGCAGCAGUGGGGAAUAUUGCACAAUGGGCGCAAGCCUGAUGCAGCCAUGCCGCGUGUAUGAAGAAGGCCUUCGGGUUGUAAAGUACUUUCAGCGAGGAGGAAGGCGUUAAGGUUAAUAACCUUAGCGAUUGACGUUACUCGCAGAAGAAGCACCGGCUAACUCCGUGCCAGCAGCCGCGGUAAUACGGAGGGUGCAAGCGUUAAUCGGAAUUACUGGGCGUAAAGCGCACGCAGGCGGUUUGUUAAGUCAGAUGUGAAAUCCCCGGGCUCAACCUGGGAACUGCAUUUGAAACUGGCAAGCUUGAGUCUCGUAGAGGGGGGUAGAAUUCCAGGUGUAGCGGUGAAAUGCGUAGAGAUCUGGAGGAAUACCGGUGGCGAAGGCGGCCCCCUGGACGAAGACUGACGCUCAGGUGCGAAAGCGUGGGGAGCAAACAGGAUUAGAUACCCUGGUAGUCCACGCCGUAAACGAUGUCUAUUUGGAGGUUGUUCCCUUGAGGAGUGGCUUCCGGAGCUAACGCGUUAAAUAGACCGCCUGGGGAGUACGGCCGCAAGGUUAAAACUCAAAUGAAUUGACGGGGGCCCGCACAAGCGGUGGAGCAUGUGGUUUAAUUCGAUGCAACGCGAAGAACCUUACCUACUCUUGACAUCCAGAGAACUUAGCAGAGAUGCUUUGGUGCCUUCGGGAACUCUGAGACAGGUGCUGCAUGGCUGUCGUCAGCUCGUGUUGUGAAAUGUUGGGUUAAGUCCCGCAACGAGCGCAACCCUUAUCCUUUGUUGCCAGCGGUUCGGCCGGGAACUCAAAGGAGACUGCCAGUGAUAAACUGGAGGAAGGUGGGGAUGACGUCAAGUCAUCAUGGCCCUUACGAGUAGGGCUACACACGUGCUACAAUGGCAUAUACAAAGAGAAGCGACCUCGCGAGAGCAAGCGGACCUCAUAAAGUAUGUCGUAGUCCGGAUUGGAGUCUGCAACUCGACUCCAUGAAGUCGGAAUCGCUAGUAAUCGUAGAUCAGAAUGCUACGGUGAAUACGUUCCCGGGCCUUGUACACACCGCCCGUCACACCAUGGGAGUGGGUUGCAAAAGAAGUAGGUAGCUUAACCUUCGGGAGGGCGCUUACCACUUUGUGAUUCAUGACUGGGGUGAAGUCGUAACAAGGUAACCGUAGGGGAACCUGCGGUUGGAUCACCUCCUU
rnacentral:rRNA from 4 species